UUAGGUAUGGCCUAUGGGUCUUAAUUCUUCUAUUCCUCUCUUCAUCUCUUCUCAGUUCCCUCCCGCCUCUCUAGUCUCUUCUGCAGCUUCUGCUCUUCAUCUCUUCAAGACUUCGACUCUUCCCUCCCGCCACUGCUGCCGCCGCCUGUCGCCAGUCGCCGCCAACCUCCAUCUCUUGCCGGCCGCCUGUUUUGGACUUUGGUUUGGUAAGUAAUUUAACUAAUUUUUAAUUUUAAUUUAGCCUAAAUGUCUUUCAAAUUUGGUACUAUUUAUUUUAAUUUAGCCUAACUAUGCAUACUAUUAAUGUUUCCUAUUAAUUAGGUCUCCACUUUGUAUGUAAUUUUGAUGAUGACAAUUGACAAAUAAAUUUAG
rnacentral:lncRNA from 1 species